GACGUAGGGCGCGAGCGUUGUCCGGAUUUAUUGGGCGUAAAGAGCUCGUAGGCGGCUUGUCGCGUCGAAUGUGAAAACUCGGGGCUCAACCCCGGGUCUGCAUUCGAUACGGGCAGGCUAGAGUGUGGUAGGGGAGAUCGGAAUUCCUGGUGUAGCGGUGAAAUGCGCAGAUAUCAGGAGGAACACCGGUGGCGAAGGCGGAUCUCUGGGCCAUUACUGACGCUGAGGAGCGAAAGCGUGGGGAGCGAACAGG
rnacentral:rRNA from 1 species